rnacentral:rRNA from 1 species
UACGUAGGGCGCAAGCGUUGUCCGGAAUUAUUGGGCGUAAAGAGCUCGUAGGCGGUUUGUCGCGUCUGCUGUGAAAACUCGAGGCUCAACCUCGGGCUUGCAGUGGGUACGGGCAGACUAGAGUGCGGUAGGGGUGACUGGAAUUCUUGGUGUAGCGGUGAAAUGCGUAGAUAUCAAGAGGAACACCUGAGGCGAAGGCGGGUUGCUAGGCUGAUACUGACGCUGAGUGCGCGAAAGCUAGGGUAGCAAACGGG